UACGUAGGGUGCAAGCGUUAAUCGGAAUUACUGGGCGUAAAGCGUGCGCAGGCGGUUUUGUAAGUCAGAUGUGAAAUCCCCGGGCUUAACCUGGGAACUGCGUUUGAAACUACAAGGCUAGAGUGUGACAGAGGGGGGUGGAAUUCCACGUGUAGCAGUGAAAUGCGUAGAGAUGUGGAGGAACACCGAUGGCGAAGGCAGUCCCCUGGGUUAACACUGACGCUCAGGCACGAAAGCGUGGGGAGCAAACAGG
rnacentral:rRNA from 1 species